UCGAUUGCCAACCCGGCCAGGGCCGGAA
rnacentral:SRP_RNA from 18 species